rnacentral:rRNA from 1 species
CGCCUCUUGCAUAACCACAGUAUAAGAGGUCCCGCCUGCCCAGUGACAACUUAGUUCAACGGCCGCGGUAUUUUGACCGUGCAAAGGUAGCGUAAUCACUUGUCUUUUAAAUGAAGACCUGUAUGAAUGGCAUAACGAGGGCUUAACUGUCUCCUUCCCCUGGUCAAUGAAAUUGAUCUCCCCGUGCAGAAGCGGGGAUAAAACCAUAAGACGAGAAGACCCUAUGGAGCUUUAGACACACAGGCGGACCAUGUCAAAUACCCCCAGCUAAGGGCCUGAACUAAAUGGAACCUGCCUUGAUGUCUUCGGUUGGGGCGACCCUGGGGAAUACAAAACCCCCACGUGGAAAGGGAGCACACCCCUAAGUUACUUCUUCUCCCGCAAGCCAGAGCAACAGCUCUAACAAGCAGAAAUUCUGACCAAACUGAUCCGGUAAAACCGAUCAACGAACCAAGUUACCCUAGGGAUAACAGCGCAAUCCCCUUUUAGAGCCCAUAUCGACAAGGGGGUUUACGACCUCGAUGUUGGAUCAGGACAUCCUAAUGGUGCAGCCGCUAUUAAGGGUUCGUUUGUUCAACGAUUAAAGUCCU